CACAGCAGCGGUGUUAUUCGUAGGUCCGGAUCGUUGUCGUAUUUUUUGGCAUAAAGCGAGCCGCAGGCGUUUUGAUUAGUAUAAAUACAGGGCUGUGUCUCAACCCAAUAGUUCGUUGUGGAAUCUGUCAAACGUGACUGCAGAAGCAGAAGAGUGUACUUCCAUGUGUAGCUGAGAAUUGCGUAGAUAUAUGGAGGAACACCGGUGGCGAAAGCGCCUCUCUGGUCUGUAACUGUCGCUGAGGCUCGAAAGCGUGGGGAGCGAACAGGAUUAGAUACCUUGGUAGUCCACGCCGUAAACGAUGAGUGCUAGGUGUUGGAUCCUUUCCGGGAUUCAGUGCCGCAGCUAACGCAUUAAGCACUCCGCUUGGGGAGUACGACCGCAAGGUUGAAACUCAAAGGAAUUGACGGGGCCCCGCACAAGCGGUGGAGCAUGUGGUUUAAUUCGAAGCACCGCGAAGUACCUUACCAGGUCUUGACAUCCUGAUGCUAUUCUUAGAGAUAGAAAGUUACCUCAGUACGUCGUUGACAGGUGGUCCAUGGUUGUUGUCAGCUCGUGUCGUGAGAUGUUGGGAAAAGUCCCGCAACGAGCGCAACCCCUAUGGUUAGGGCCAUCAUUCAGUUGGGCAUUCUAGCGAGCUGCCUGGUAAUAAACCGGAGGAAGGUGGGGAGACGCCAAAUCAUCAUCCCCUUUCAGGUGGGCUACACACGUCGCCAAGGUGAGGUGCAACCUCACGUGAGUCGUAGACCACAACAGGUUCUUUUAAAACCGGUGCCAUUUCGGAUUGUAGAUAACAACUAGCUGUCAUGCAGUGGGAAUCGGUAGUAAUUAUGGAUCACCAUAGUUAUGGUGAAUACGUUAGGCGGCCUUGUACACCCCGCCCGUCACACCACGAGAGUUUCAAGAAGAGAAGUCGGUGAGGUAACCUUUGGACCCACCCGCUUAAGCUGGGAUAGAUGAUGGGGCGAAGUCCUGGCAAGAUCUCC
rnacentral:rRNA from 1 species